GAUGAACGCUGGCGGCGUGCUUAACACAUGCAAGUCGAGCGAGUGAGUUCUUCGGAACGAUCUAGCGGCGGACGGGUGAGUAACACGGGGGCAACCUGCCUCAUAGAGGGGAAUAGCCUCCCGAAAGGGAGAUUAAUACCGCAUAAAAUUAUCGAGUGGCAUCACAUGAUAAUCAAAGGAGUAAUCCGCUAUGAGAUGGGCCCGCGGCGCAUUAGCUAGUUGGUGAGGUAACGGCUCACCAAGGCGACGAUGCGUAGCCGACCUGAGAGGGUGAUCGGCCACAUUGGGACUGAGACACGGCCCAGACUCCUACGGGAGGCAGCAGUGGGGAAUAUUGCACAAUGGGGGAAACCCUGAUGCAGCAAUGCCGCGUGAGUGAUGACGGCCUUCGGGUUGUAAAGCUCUGUCUUCGGGGACGAUAAUGACGGUACCCGAGGAGGAAGCCACGGCUAACUACGUGCCAGCCGCCGCGGUAA
rnacentral:rRNA from 1 species